UAAAAAAAUUGUUUUUGAUUUGUCAUUAUGGGGUAUUGUCUGUAGAUUGAUUAAAAAAAAGUGUAAUUCAUUUUAGAAUAAGGCUGWAAAGUGGAAAAACUCAAGGGGGCAGACAUGUCAAUAGGUACCAGUCAUGGUGAGUAGAGACAUCAUGCCAAUAGGUACCAGUCAUGGUGAGUAGAGACCACAUGUCAAUAGGUACCAGUCAUGGUGAGUAGAGACAUCAUGUCAAUAGGUACCAGUCAUGGUGGAGUAGGGAGAGACAUCAUGUCAAUAGGUACCAGUCAUGGUGAGUAGAGACAUCAUGCCAAUAGGUACCAGUCAUGGUGAGUAGAGACAUCAUGCCAAUAGGUACCAGUCAGGGUGAGUAGAGACAUGUCAAUAGGUACCAGUCAUGGUGAAGAGAUACAUGUCAUAGGUACCAGUCAUGGUGAGUAGAGACCAUCAUGUCAUAGGUCAAGUCAUGGUGAUUAGAGAGACUCAUUCAAUAGGUACCAGUCAUGGUGAGUAGAGACUCAUGUCAAUAGGUAAGUCAUGGGUGAGUGAGACUAGCCAAUAGGUACAUCAUGGUAGUAGAGACUCAU
rnacentral:lncRNA from 1 species